rnacentral:rRNA from 1 species
CCUACGGGAGGCAGCAGUGAGGAAUAUUGGUCAAUGGACGAGAGUCUGAACCAGCCAAGUCGCGUGAAGGAUGACUGCCCUAUGGUUUGUAAACUUCUUUUAUAUGGGAAUAAAAUGUUCCACGUGUGGGAUUUUGUAUGUACCAUAUGAAUAAGGAUCGGCUAACUCCGUGCCAGCAGCCGCGGUAAUACGGAGGAUCCGAGCGUUAUCCGGAUUUAUUGGGUUUAAAGGGAGCGUAGGUGGAUUGUUAAGUCAGUUGUGAAAGUUUGCGGCUCAACCGUAAAAUUGCAGUUGAAACUGGCAGUCUUGAGUAUAGUAGAGGUGGGCGGAAUUCGUGGUGUAGUGGUGAAAUGCUUAGAUAUCACGAAGAACUCCGAUUGCGAAGGCAGCUCACUGGACUGCAACUGACACUGAGGCACGAAAGUGUGGGGAUCAAACAGGAUUAGAUACCCGAGUAGUC